CCCUUAGAUGUUCUGGGCCGCACGCGCGCUACACUGAUGCAUUCAACGAGCCUAUCCUUGACCGACAGGUCCGGGUAAUCUUUGAAUCUGCAUCGUGACGGGGAUAGAUUAUUGCAAUUAUUAAUCUUCAACGAGGAAUGCCUAGUAGGCGCAAGUCAUCAGCUUGCGUCGAUUACGUCCCUGCCCUUUGUACACACCGCCCGUCGCUCCUACCGAUUGAGUGUGCUGGUGAAAUGUUCGGAUCGGCCGUUUGUCGCGGUUUCCGCGGCUCGUGGCUGAGAAGUUCAUUAAACCCUCCCACCUAGAGGAAGGAGAAGUCGUAACA
rnacentral:rRNA from 1 species